GAUGAACGCUGGCGGCGUGCCUAAUACAUGCAAGUCGAGCGAACAGACGAGGAGCUUGCUCCUCUGACGUUAGCGGCGGACGGGUGAGUAACACGUGGAUAACCUACCUAUAAGACUGGGAUAACUUCGGGAAACCGGAGCUAAUACCGGAUAACAUGUUGAACCGCAUGGUUCAACAGUGAAAGACGGUCUUGCUGUCACUUAUAGAUGGAUCCGCGCCGCAUUAGCUAGUUGGUAAGGUAACGGCUUACCAAGGCAACGAUGCGUAGCCGACCUGAGAGGGUGAUCGGCCACACUGGAACUGAGACACGGUCCAGACUCCUACGGGAGGCAGCAGUAGGGAAUCUUCCGCAAUGGGCGAAAUCCUGACGGAGCAACGCCGCGUGAGUGAAGAAGGUCUUCGGAUCGUAAAACUCUGUUAUUAGGGAAGAACAAAUGUGUAAGUAACUAUGCACGUCUUGGCGGUACCUAAUCAGAAAGCCACGGCUAACUACGUG
rnacentral:rRNA from 1 species